rnacentral:rRNA from 1 species
CCUACGGGAGGCAGCAGUGGGGAAUAUUGCACAAUGGCGGAAACCCUGAUGCAGCGACGCCGCGUGAGUGAAGAAGUAAUUCGUUAUGUAAAGCUCUAUCAGCAGGGGAGAAAAGGACGGUACCUGAGUAAGAAGCCCCGGCUAACUACGUGCCAGCAGCCGCGGUAAUACGGAGGGGGCAGGCGUUAUCCGGAUUUACUGGGUGUAAAGGGAGCGUAGACGGCAGUGCAAGUCUGGAGUGAAAGGCUGGGGCUCAACCCCCGGACUGCUCUGGAAACUGUACGGCUGGAGUGCACGGGAGGUAAGUGGAAUUCCUGGUGUAGCGGUGAAAUGCGUAGAUAUUAUGAAGAACACCAGUGGCGAAGGCGGCUUACCGGACUGUAACUGACGUUGAGGCUCGAAAGCGUGGGGAGCAAACAGGAUUAGAUACCCUUGUAGUC